AGCUUUGCGCAGUGGCAGUAUCAUAGCCAAUGAGGUUUAUCCAAGGCGCAAUUAUUGCUAAUUGAAAACUUUAAAAAUCAUCUCCAAAAGGCCACACAGUCAGAUGUCUAGCAGCAAAUGACACCACUCCCUGGUA